CCGGUGCGGUGCCCUCUUCAGCAGCAGCUUCUUCUGAAACAGAAGGAACAAUGCUGCUCAAGUCCAAAUUCGGAUACAAUUUAUCGAUCGCAUCUUGAUCAUCCUCAUAUCCGAUACAGUAGGAAGCAAAUCUACCUUCGAGAAUUUUUUUCUUGAAUUCUUUCAAAUUUUUGUAGUUCUCGAUGGCCAGACUUAGGGCAUCCCUCGCC
rnacentral:lncRNA from 1 species